GGAGAACCAGGACUUUUACUGUGAAAAAAUUAGAGUGCUCCAGGCAGGCCUAUGCUCGAAUACAUUAGCAUGGAAUAAUAGAAUAGGACGUGUGGUUCUAUUUUGUUGGUUUCUAGGACCGCCGUAAUGAUUAAUAGGGACAGUCGGGGGCAUCAGUAUUCAAUUGUCAGAGGUGAAAUUCUUGGAUUUAUUGAAGACUAACUACUGCGAAAGCAUUUGCCAAGGAUGUUUUCAUUAAUCAGGAACGAAAGUUAGGGGAUCGAAGACGAUCAGAUACCGUCGUAGUCUUAACCAUAAACUAUGCCGACUAGGGAUCGGACGGUGUUAUUUUUUGACCCGUUCGGCACCUUACGAGAAAUCAAAGUGCUUGGGCUCCAGGGGGAGUAUGGUCGCAAGGCUGAAACUUAAAGAAAUUGACGGAAGGGCACCACCAGGGGUGGAGCCUGCGGCUUAAUUUGACUCAACACGGGGAAACUCACCAGGUCCAGACACAAUGAGGAUUGACAGAUUGAGAGCUCUUUCUUGAUUUUGUGGGUGGUGGUGCAUGGCCGUUCUUAGUUGGUGGAGUGAUUUGUCUGCUUAAUUGCGAUAACGAACGAGACCU
rnacentral:rRNA from 1 species